rnacentral:pre_miRNA from 1 species
AGUGUGCCCCCAGGGUAAGUGUGCAGACGGCGGGCCCCAGAGCACGUGCCCGAUUGGUGGCACAUGUCUGGGGACCGCCCCUUCGUCUCUAGGAGAGCCUCCAGUACGCUG